UACCAAAUAAAUUGACAUAUAAGACUACAUCAUCUUCACUAUCUUCACUCACUUCCUCAAUUGGAAUAAUUGGUUCAUUAUUUUGUGAUGGUUCUUCAUGAUUAAGUUAGUAGUGUAUAGGAAGUGAUGUUGAUGAAGAUGUAGGUUGGCUCAUUCAUACGGGUGUGAUUGCAAUAUACUAGUUGUGAUAAUUGUACAUCGUCAUCAAAAUGAAUAUAUAACUCAAUCAUGUUCAAAUGAGUAAAUGUCAUGUGACACUAAAACUAUGGGUGAAAAACGGGC
rnacentral:lncRNA from 1 species